GACGUAGGGCGCGAGCGUUGUCCGGAUUUAUUGGGCGUAAAGAGCUCGUAGGCGGCUUGUCGCGUCGACCGUGAAAACUUGGGGCUCAACCCCAAGCCUGCGGUCGAUACGGGCAGGCUCGAGUUCGGUAGGGGAGACUGGAACUCCUGGUGUAGCGGUGAAAUGCGCAGAUAUCAGGAGGAACACCGGUGGCGAAGGCGGGUCUCUGGGCCGAUACUGACGCUGAGGAGCGAAAGCGUGGGGAGCGAACAGG
rnacentral:rRNA from 1 species